AUUUUAUGAAGAAUAUAGACAAAAUUUGAGUAUCGUUCGAUAGCGAAUUUUCAUGGUUAUUUCAAUUUUAAAUUGAAAAAAAGUGAUAUUUCUAAGCCGAUUUUCGAAUAUCUCUCCAUUCCAAACGAAAGAGCAUACUUUUUUCUAUAUAAUGGCAUAUUCUUUAGAGAUCUUUUCUAAAUAGUUAAAAUUUUAUGAAGAAUAUAGACAAAAUUUGAGUAUCGUUCGAUAGCGAAUUUUCAUGGUUAUUUCAAUUAUAAAUUGAAAAAAAGUGAUAUUUCUAAGCUGA
rnacentral:lncRNA from 1 species